UCCAAUGGAAUAAUCGGCCAGUUAAUUUAACCGUGAGUUGUGGAACCGGGCCUAAGAAUCUUUAUCAUAAUGUCAAUUACUCAUUAAAAUGCAAUGUAUCUUGCAUAGAAUUUUAAUGUAAGCAACAUGUUACACUUGAUGGAAAAUAGUAUAUCUAGACAGAGUUCAAAGUUACAUAGAGUAUUUUUAUGACACUAUUACAGAAUUUGGCAUUAUGUACAUUUCUUCUUAAAGCGACAAUGAAAACUUUAUUAUUAUGAGUUUAAAACUUUAAUACUUUUUGCUCAUUAGAAAAUGGUUUUCACAUUUAUAUGUCCUUUUUUUCAGACAGAAGAAUCUACAACAACAAACAAUAUUACAAAUAUAUUUUAAAUUAUGAAACAAUGUUAAAAUAAAGUUCGCUUUUUAUUUUACAAAGGAAAUAAAACCUGAAAAAUCCAGCAAAAUUAGGAAAUCUACAAUAAUCACACGUAGAGCAUGUCACAUGCCAAAUUUUAGCCCAAUCAACUUAUUGUCAUUUUAUUUAAUUUAGUUUAUUAUUUAGUUAAUUAAGUAUUACAAACUUUGACACUGAAAAUUUUUCAACUUUUUAAAACGAGUCUCUUGUGUAUUAAUGGAUGCAUUAGUUGUUGCAAUAUUUGAUAAACUAGUUACAUUAUUAUUUAUUGACACAAUAAACAACAUUGUUUAUUGACACAAUGAUAACAGUAUUACAAAUUUCUUAACUUUACAAAAUUCGACUUUUAAACAUAUUAUGUUUACUGUACAAUUUUUAAUGCGUAAGAAAUCAAUUGUUUAUCAUACAACUCGAUAAAGUUUUCAACAUAUAGUAAUAGAGUUUAAUUGUCGCUUUAAGAAAAAACUUUUUUAUAGUGCCAAAUUCUGUAAUAAUGUCAUCAUAACACAUUAUGUGUUAUUAACACUAAACUUUGUUCAGAUGCAUUAUUUUUUGUUAAAUGUAAUAUAUGUUGCUAACGCUAAAAUUUUAAGCGAGACAUGUAUUGCAUAAUUGAUCGAUCUCAGAUGCAUAAAAAAUUGUACGAUAAAUAUAAUAUUAACUUCAAGUCAAAUUUUGUAAAAUUAAAAAAAUCUGUCAUUUCUAUCACACAUGCAGUAUGUCUGGAACAAAAUUUUGUAGUAACCAAUAGGUUAUCUCUCAUCAUUAAAAAUGAUUGUUAUGAAAUAAUUAAUAACCUAUAUUAACAUUUGAAAACGGUACUAUAUUAUCAUAAUAAAAUUUUUUUAUCUUAUGAAAACGGUUCUCUUUUACACUAACAGAUGCAUUAGUAUUGUAGGAUAUAAUAAACUCGUGUACACUUUAUUGUAUGAAAAAAUUUUUUAAUGAGCAUAAACUAAGAAUUUGAUAAAAAUUAAAAACGUGAAAAAUUUUAUACUAUUAGAAAUAUAUUAAUUGUUCAACAUCUAGAGAACAUUAUUACUUUUGAUAUUUUCACCCUAAUUAUGUGAUACAAGGAAUCUUCUAACAUAAUGUCAAUUACUCGUGUAAUAUGUGUCUCGUAUAGAAUUUUAGCAUAAGCAACACGUCACAUUUGAUGGAAAAUAGUACAUCUGAACAGAGAUUAGUGUUACAUAGAGUGUUUACGACACUAUUACAGAAUUUGACACUACAUGUUUUUUCUUAAAGCGACAAUUAAAUCUUUGUAACUGUAGAAGAAUAUUUAUAACUACGAAUGUUAAUAUUACAAAUAAAUUUUGCAUUAUGAAACGAUGUUAGAGCAAAGAUCGCUUCUUAUUGUACAAAGGAUAAUAAAAUGUGAAAAGUCCUGCAAAGUUAAGAAAUUUACGUAAAUCACACGUAGAACAUGACACAUGCAAAAGUUUAACCUAAUCAACUUAUUGUCAUUUUAUUUAAUGAAAAAUUAUUUCUUUUAACAGGCUUAUUUCUUAUUCAUGCUUCCUUGCCAUCACAAAAAUUGUCAAAAGUUUUUUUGCUCAAAUGAGUCUUAUGUAAAAAUGGUUCCAUUAAUUAUUGCAUAUGUUAAAUGUAUUGGGUCAAUAAACAAUAAUGUAACAAGUUUAUAAAAUA
rnacentral:lncRNA from 1 species